GCUGACACAAAAAUGCUGCGUGUGUGAAGACUGUGAAACUGUCUUGUAGUUUUAUAUAUGUGUAGUGUGUUUAAACUCAUGUCAGGAUGUGGAUAUAGAUAAAAUCCUGUUUCAUAAGCAAAGAUAGCUGCUGGAGUGUUAGCAGUACCAGGAAAACAAAAUGUGUCUGCCACUCAAGUCCAGAGUUGCAUAUUUUUAGGUUAAAACACCUCAAAUACUGUGAAUGAACUUUUUUUUCUUCCUUAAAGGUAAAAGGGAGGCACCUUUGAAGAGUAUUCUGAGUAAGGAGAUGACUGUCAGCUAUGGAAAAGUGGACACUGCAUGAAAAUAGGUGCUUGAAUUUUAUAAGAUAAAAGUAAGGAGAGAUUAUACCUUUUCAUAGUGUCAUUUACUAGCUGCUCCAUCUUGAUAAUAGAAGAAGUAUCAUCAGUCCAAGACCUAAUCUUUAUCAGUGCCAUAGCUUACGAGAAGCCCUAUUCAAAUCACAGUUAUCCCAGAUGGAGCUGCAAGUUUUUCUGGUAGGUUCUUCCAUCAUGUCAAGUAUUUUUCCUGUCCCAAGGUUGAAAUCUGCUGAGCCAAACUAGCAUGUCCUUGGGAGCACCUCAUCAGCAAUGCCCCCCAGCGAACAUCGGUGAGAGGUCGAUGUUUAUUUAUUACACUCUGAGAAAUUGCUUGCACUAAUUUAUGUGGGGAGCUCUGCUAGAUGAGUAAGCGUGGCAAUCCCAUUGCUCUCAAUGCAGCAGGGGGAGGAUUAACAGACAGCUUCAUCUGCCAUGACAAAACUUCUCUCUGACUUCUGGGCCAUUAAAGGAAAUGACAGGUUUUACUGCAAUGUCCAUCUCUUGGAGGGACAUUGACAAUUUGCUGCUUAAAACCCAAGUCACAGCAGAGCAUUUAGCUGACAGCUGAGACCUUGGCAUCAGCUACCAAUAUUGAUAGUACACAGCACAAAUGCCACAUAAAGGGUGGAAAACAUCACUCAGACAUGCCUUGUUGGAUCAGAUCAACAAAUAAUGCAUCCUUGUGCAAUGCUUCAGGAAGAGAACCCUGUUGCUUAGUGCAAGAAUACAGACAGUGGGUGGCUGAAUAGCAUUCUUAUGGGGAGGCUCCAGCUGACUUCCAUGGAAGCAAGACUAGGAUCAGUGUGACUUCCAUUCUGGAAGUUGGACCUUCCUAUUCACACAAAGGCCUCCAGUGCCACA
rnacentral:lncRNA from 1 species